rnacentral:rRNA from 1 species
CUACGGGUUGCUGCAGUGGGGAAUUUUGCGCAAUGGGCGAAAGCCUGACGCAGCAAUGCCGCGUGGAGGAUGAAUGCCUUCGGGUUGUAAACUCCUUUUGUAAGCGAAGAAUUUUGACUGUAACUUACGAAUAAGUCACGGCUAACUACGUGCCAGCAGCCGCGGUAAUACGUAGGUGGCGAACGUUAUCCGGAAUUAUUGGGCGUAAAGGGUCUGCAGGUGGUUUUAUAAGUUGAGUGUGAAAGCCUCUGGCUCAACCAGAGAAUUGUACUCAAAACUAUAAAACUAGAGUAUGUUAGAGGUUAGUGGAAUUCUAGGUGUAGGGGUAAAAUCCGUUGAUAUCUAGAGGAACACCAAUAGCGAAGGCGACUAACUGGGACAUUACUGACACUCAUAGACGAAAGCGUGGGUAGCGAAAAGGAUUAGAUACCCCCGUAGUC